AAAGUUGCCGCAUCUCAAGCAUGUUGCCAGAUUGUUGUUGGUAAAACUCUCAGCUAGUCAAUCUGUUUCUUUGGGUUGUGUUCCUCCUUAUGCCAUGGAUUUGUAGCUUCUUGCUCUAUCUAUCUCUUUCACUCUUGUCACUUGGUAAGUCUUCCUCUGCUUCUUUGCUCUGCCUCUUCGUCUUCUCUUCUUCAUUAAUAAUGAUUUUUCGUUGUUGAUUUUAAGGUGAUCGGGACUUUGCCAAAGGGACCGAUGCAACACUCCAUCUGGAAUGACAUUCUUGAAUCUGGUAAGCCUUACUCCCGCGCUUCAAUUACUGUGUCUGUUCCUCUUCUCAUCUCUCAAUUCUUCUUUCAGCUGAUGUUAGGUCUGCCCCUCUUCAAGCUCGUAGAUCUAUUUGUUGCACCUUUCUUUGACCGCAAGAUCCUCCUACCUUUGUUUUUUGGUGAAAUUUUUUUUAGAGAAAAGACAUAAACAUACCAUUAAAGUUGUCUCAUAUUUUCAAAAAGACAUCUAAGAUUAAAGCGGUUCUUUUAUCCCAUGAAACUAGUCUUAACCAUAAUAUAUGCACACUUUUACACCAGUUAUAUUCUCAUCCUCAGAGAGUGCAUCUCACUCCUUUAUUAAAUAAUAUAAUAUUAUUUUUUCCAUCUUUUUAAUAUAGUACUGGAUAAAACUCUCAUCCAUUAUUAUUUUAAUCCAUUUCACUCUUCUAUCAGUAUUCCUUUUAGACGGCGAAAUCAUCCUGUCCCCUUUUUUCUUUCUCCGUUGAGUUUCACUUCUAGAACUUUUUUCGCGUUGACACUGAGCAAUCACAUACUCUUUCUGAGAUCGUAAGUUGUAUAAGAGUUUGCCCUUUCUCUACUACAAAUAAUUUUUUUACCUCAUGGUCCAUAGCAAAAUUUGAACCUCUGAUUCCUUUGCUGCUUUCCUUGCUCUCCGAUGACGCAUUCUUAAAUCGAACUCACUUCUCCACCUAGAUAGAAAUGCAAAAAUUGAUAUAAUCUCUUUUAAUUGCUACCUCAAUAGGUAAAUUGCUACCUUAUUAAGUCGAGGUGUAUGAUGGGUUUAAUCUUUCAGAUCCAUUAAUGUCCUCCCCGUCGAACAUCAUUACAAAAUCAAAAAAAAGAAAAUUAAUUUUUGAUAUCAGAUGGAAGAUGAAAGACGGAAUUGAAGAGUAAGAAAAUUGCUAUCAUGAAUGGAGUUUUGAUUAAAGUGAAUAGAUGGAGUAGAGACACCAAUUUUUUUCUGCUUUUACAUUGAUGAAAGAGAACUCUGUAAAUUUCUUCUUCUUUUUGUGAGAAGAUGAGUUGCUUGGAGAAGACAAGUUGUUAAUACCACAUGGUAAUUUUUAUAUUGAUUUGGAGGUGAAUUUUAACUCAUUCAUGCACCUCCUCAUUUGUGAUAUUACACUUACUCUGAAAAUAGGUCAAAGUGGUAUAUUUAUUGUGGUUGAAACUCGUUUCAUAGGUAAUAUGACUCUCGCAAAUUUUAGGUGUCUUUUAAGAAAUUUGAGACAACUUUAAUAAUAUCUUUAUAUUUUUUCUUUUUUUUUUUCAUGAAUUUAAAAAAUAAUUCAAGUUAAAGUUACAUCGAUAUUAAGAAAGAAAAAUAAUAAAAGAUUAAAAAUUAUAUUUUAUAAGACUACAAUAAACUCAAACUCUUAAAUUCAUCUCGAGAUUAUCUCUAAUUCUUGACCGAUCUUAUAUUUUCGAUACAUGUUAUAAGGAUCAGAGUCAUUUAUCUUUACAAACUACUUCUUUCGCAUUCUUUUUUUAAUUCUUGAUUAAAUUUAUAUUUUCUGAUGCUAAUUUGAAUGAUAAUUUUCGUGCCGAGAUGAAUGUCAAUGUUCUUCUCCUGUGAUUUCGGUAUCUAUAUAACAUAUCUAUUUUAUUAAUUGAUGACGUGAUGCUUUACAUUUGGCCUUUAUAUAAAAUAAAGCACACAAAUGAUAAAAAUAGGAACAACGAUAACAAAAGAAGAAAAAUUAUUCUGUAUAGACAUUUAAUUUAAUGAAAUCAAUGUUCCCCAUUACUCAUCCAAUUUAAAUAAAAUGAGAAAAUAAUUAGUUGAACACCCUAUUUAUAAAUUUGAUGUCUAUAUAUUUAAUAAAUGAUGGAUUGCAAUUGAUUUGUGAAACUUAAGUUAGAUUAAAUUAUUUUUCUAAAGUGUCAAAUAAGUUAGUUGAGUUAAAUAAAGGCUAAUUAAAAUUGUUCACAUUAAUUAAUAAAUAAUGGUUCAUUAACCCCCGUCUAAUGAUUUUAUAAACCUCAUUCUAUACUGUUAUCCAUUACGUUCGCAUUUCUAGUUGAUUUUAAUUUUUUUCUAACAAAUUUUAAGCUGCAAAAAAUAUUUUAUUAGUUUGUUCUUGCUUGAGUGACUGUGUUUGCUUGAAUAUUCACUUCUAUUUUGUUUGUAAUAUAGCACGUGACAUGACUUGUCUUCUCUUUUUGAUUUGUAAGGGUUGUACUUAAAACGCGACUCUAUAUUUUUUCUUUGCCAUUUUGUGGCUUUUAUUUUUCUUCUUCUACUAAAAUAAUUACAUUUGUCAUUUUAUCUCCCUACUUCAAUAACUGAAAUUGUCAGCAUCUGUUAAAAUUCAUAAUUGCGACAUAGUCAAAAAUUUUAAAUAGUUUUUAUCGCCUUUGUUCUGUACUAACCCUGCUUUCAAAAGGUUGGUACAGAGGAGAAACUGAUGAAGAAAGAGGUGGCGAAGGGAGAGGCCGUCUGGAAGGCGGUGGUGAAGGUGGACGUGGAGGUGGAUACAUAAAAUCCUCGGGGGGUGAGGCGGAGGUGGAGGUGGAUACAAAGAAUUAUCAGGGGCCGGAGAAGGAGGAGGAAUGUUGUACUGUGUAUAUGAGGAUUCAUCAUUCCACCACUAGCAGUGGAUUCCUCUGGACUGAGAUGGUGGUGGUGGAGGAACAAAAGUCGAUCGAGACACUUCCUAGGAUAUUUUUUUAUUGAAGAAGUAGGAAGUCAUGAACACUUUUAGGGACUCAACGAAACAGACAGGAAAAACUCAACUCUCAAGAACCAUACAUUAGCAUUCACACAUCAAGAUUCAACAAAAAAGCAACACAUAGCCUUGAGUUUUCAGGAAAAACAGAGGAUUGAAUUUUAGUCAAGAAAAUGAACAAGAAUUCACAAACAAAGUGAUUUCCACUUUAAAAAAUUGAAUGCAAAAGAAAACUAAAAAAGCAAGUUUAGUAGGAGAAGCACAUGAGAGCAGAGACAAAUGUUAUUACCAGUUCUCCUCUCACUUGCUUCUCCUACUAAAAUUGUUUUUUCAAUUCUUCCCUUUUUCUUUCAAUUUUUUGAAGUGGAAAUUGUUUUGUUUGCGAUUCUUGUUCACUUUCUUUACUGAAAUUCAAUCCUCUGCUUUUUCAUGAAACUCAAUGCUCUAUUUUAUCUUUUUGCUGAAUCUUGGUGUGUAAAUGCCAAUGUACUGUUCUUCAAGUUCAGUUCUCACUGUUUGUUUCAUUGAUUCUCUACAAGUGUUCAUGUCUUCCUACUUCCUCAAAAAAAAGUAUCUAGGGAAGUGUCGCAGUCGAGUUUUGUUCGUCCACCACCACCAUCCCAAUCCAAAGGAAGCUAGUACUCGCGGUGGAAUGACGGAUUGACAUAUACGCAACAGAACAUUCCUCCUCCUUCGUCUCCACCUCCUGAUGACUCUUGGUAUCCACCUCCACCUCCAUCACCACCACCUCCACCUCCUGAGGAUUCUAUGUAUCUACCUCCACUUUCACCACCGCCUUCACGAUGGCCUUCUCUCCCUCUGCCACCUUCUUCAUUAGUUUCUCCUCUGUACCAACGAUAUGAAAAUAAUUGAUGAUGCCACAUCCCAAAAUAAUAUCUCGACGUGACUGGCACCCACUAACACUACUUGUCGAGAGAACCAAUCUUCCUUACACUUUACCAGAUAAUAAAAUCUAAGGUAAGAUAUGUACAACUUCAACGCGUCAAUAAAUAGAGAAUAUUAGUUCAACAAAAUUCCAUAAUUAAACUAUAAAUUCAACAAUCACUCGCAAACUAAUUCUUUGUUCCAAAUCUCACACUAAAACCAUGGAGCAUCUAAAAUAGAGUUACAUGAGUUCAACCUUUGGGCAUGCAAACCCAAUGAAAAGAAACAUACACUAGAUAGAUAAAGUUGAAACGAAAGCCUCCACCAACAAUGCGAAGGUUCACCUGAGAAAUAGAAUCCUUACAAAGGAAUCGUCACCCACUAGUUUCACCUUGCAUGGUAGUAUCUGCAGACAUAUAAGUAAGAAGUGAGCUAUAUAUAAAUAUAACUUAGUAAGAUCAUCGGCUUGCUACUUUAAGGACUCCUGAGAUAAGUAUUAGAAAAUACUACACUACCAAGAACAUAAAGAAAUUACACAGGAAUUAUAUCAUUAUAAGGUGACCAAAGAGGACCAACAAUGCUUCAUGAAGAACAAUAUACCUCAAUAUAAUUCAUACAAAGCACUUAACAUAAUUUAUAAUUAAAGUAAUUAGCCAACAUCAGGAGUUUCGAGAACAAACACAACGUGUAUCAGGAAUAUACACAAUACUCAGGAAACAUACACAAUGUCCCAUAUCAAAUCAACAAGCAUACAUAAUGCUCAAGGAAAGCAUACGCAAUAUCCCAUAUAAAAUCAACAAGCAUACACAAUGCUCAAGGAAAGCAUACACAAUGCCCCAAUGAAAUUAAGAAGUAUACACAAUGCCCCAAUCUCACAGUACACAAUCAUAUCACAACACAAAAUAAUUUAUAACAGGAGAAUUGGUAUUCUAAACUUAAAGUAUAUACAGCUGGCCUUGAAGGCCACCGCCAAGCACAUGCUCGUCCCAACAUAUGGAUCGAGCAGACAAAAAUACACUUUUUAAAAUAAAUUUGAAAAGCAAGCACCCAAAGAUUAAAAUCUCACUUACCUCAGUAACAACAAGUUUUUCAACCUUGUAAUGCUCAGGACACUAAUAAAAAAACCUCCAAUGGCUCCAAUCUGAACACUGAAAUCUUUACUUUAAAGCCUCUGUAACCUCGUUUGAGAGUAUCCCAACUAUUUUCUGCUGUUGUUUCUUUUCUCCAAAAUAAUGGGACCAAUUGCCCUAAUAUUCUACUCCUUCUAUAACUGAAAAUUUUCAAAAUUGAAUAAGGGAAAGGAUAUUAGCUUUUGGUUUGCCCAUUUUAAUUCUAUUAAUUAAUAUUAAUAAUAAUAAUAUAGGCUAAAUUAUCUAUUUACCCCCUCAUUAAAAGUCUGGGUUAUCAUAGAUGAUCUUUCAUUGUGCUUGCGAAUU
rnacentral:lncRNA from 1 species